GACGAACGCUGGCGGCGUGCUUAACACAUGCAAGUCGAACGCUGAAGCUCAGCUUUUGUUGGGUGGAUGAGUGGCGAACGGGUGAGUAACACGUGAGUAACCUGCCCCCUUCUUUGGGAUAACGCCCGGAAACGGGUGCUAAUACUGGAUAUUCACUGGUCUUCGCAUGGGGGUUGGUGGAAAGGGUUUUUCUGGUGGGGGAUGGGCUCGCGGCCUAUCAGCUUGGUGGUGGGGUGAUGGCCUACCAAGGCUUUGACGGGUAGCCGGCCUGAGAGGGUGACCGGUCACAGUGGGACUGAGAUACGGCCCAGACUCCGACGGGAGGCAGAAGUGGGGAAUAUUGCACAAUGGGCGCAAGCCUGAUGCAGCGACGCCGCGUGAGGGAUGGAGGCCUUCGGGUUGUGAACCUCUUUCGCUCAUGGUCAAGCCGAAACAAUGGUUGUGGUGAGGGUAGUGGGUAAAGAAGCGCCGGCUAACUACGUG
rnacentral:rRNA from 1 species